GGGGAGGGGGCGUGCGGAGCGAGCGGCCGGCGGGCGCGCAGCCGGCAGCGCGGGGCCGAGCCCGGCACGUCGCGUUCGGUCUGAGGCUGCGGCGGCACGCACAGGUGGGCGGUGGCGGGGGGGCGUGGCAGGCCCGCGAGAUCCGCACGGGGUCAGAGGUGAGCGAGCGGCUUCCCGAGUGGCUUUUCGGCGCUUCCCGGAGCCCGCGGCAGGAGGACGCUGCCCUGGGAGACGCGGCGGGCCGAGCGAGUGGCCCUCACAGCGGUCGCCUCCGUUCCCUCUCGCCGUGCUGCCAAGCCACGCUUUUCAUUUUAGUUUUGACUUUUGGGUUCCAGUUAACAGUACUGUAAGAUUGAUAUUAAAGACAUGGUUUUCACGUCCCUUCAUCAGCGCACAUAAGUUUUCUCUUUUUUUUGGACCCGUUUUUUAUACCACAAUGCAACAAGCUUUGGAACUAGCUUUGGAUCGUGCAGAGGUGAGACAUCACUAAGUUAAAUAUUGAAAUGUUGUUUUUAAGUGACAAAACUCAGUUUUAGAUGUUUUUGUAGUCAUUGUCAAGGGAGUACGUUAAUAAUAUUUUAGGACAAAUAAUUUUGCUGUAAAUUCGUAAAAACACCAGGUGAUGGUUACAUCAUCUGUUACUUGGAAUCCUCAGAUAAUAAUGUUGUGCAAUAAAUAUUUGAACAAGGACA
rnacentral:lncRNA from 1 species